rnacentral:rRNA from 1 species
GCGGCGAGUGANGCGGCAAGAGCUCAGAUUUGAAAUCUCACCUAGUGUGCGAGUUGUAAAUUGCAGGUUGGAGUCUCGGGUUAGACGUGUGUGCAAGUCCCUUGGAACAGGGUGCCACUGAGGGUGAGAGCCCCGUAUCGUGCAUGUCGACACCUGUGAGGCCCUUCUGACGAGUCGAGUUGUUUGGGAAUGCAGCUCUAAGUGGGUGGUAAAUUCCAUCUAAGGCUAAAUAUUGGCGAGAGACCGAUAGCGAACAAGUACUGUGAAGGAAAGAUGAAAAGCACUUUGAAAAGAGAGUGAAACAGCACGUGAAAUUGUUGAAAGGGAAGGGUAUUGGGCUCGACAUGGGAUUUACGCAUCGUUGCCUCUCGUGGGCGGCGCUCUGGGUUUUUCCUGGGCCAGCAUCGGUUUUCGUUGCAGGAUAAGGACAAUUGGAAUGUGGCUCCUCGGAGUGUUAUAGCCUUUUGUAGAUGCUGCGUAUGGGGACCGAGGGCUGCGGCGGACUCGUUUCGUCUCGGAUGCUGGCACAACGGCGCAAUACCGCCCGUCUUGAACCACGGACCAAAA